UGAGGAGCCCCACCCCCUGGUUAGGAGUUGAUAGGUGCUAAAGGGCUUGCCCAUCAAAGCCUGGUUAAGAAGCUCUCAACUCUCCUAGCAGGCUCUAGGCUUAGCACAGGGUCCCUCAAAAGAGCACACAACACUGUAUACUUAUAAGACACAAGCUACAGCCCGUAGGUGCUGACUCUGUGGAGGAGCUAGAGAACAGGAGUGGCUAAGUGUGGCCUUCGGUUUCUCCAUCGCGGAAGGCAAGAGGAGCUACAGACCAUGGAUGCUUUGAACCAUUUCCACAAGACUAGAAAUGACUGGAACCAAGUCAAGUGAAAAUAAUGCACCCUCCUUCUGAAGAUCUGAAAGUGCCUUUGACAAAUAUGAACUAAACCUCAAAAUCCUACAAGGUGGGAAUAUUGCCCCAUUUUGCAGAUGGGGAAACUGAGGCACAGAGUGGCUAAGUGACUGGCUUAAGGUUACACAGCAAGUCUGUGGCAGAGUCAAGAACAGAUUCUAGAUCUCCUGACUCCCAGCCCUUUUCUUUAGCCCCAGGACCAUCCUUCCCAUCUAAGGGGAGAACUCCCCUUCCCGAGUUAACCCGCUGCUCUCAUUUCUAAUGGCUGAAGAGGAAUAAAAUCAUGAGGGUGGACUUCGAGUUCUCCAUCUCUGCAGCAUGUGGCACUGAAUUAAGACUCACUUUAUUACCCUGGAAGUUGGGCUUUGGAGAAAGGCAGGUAAGUCAAAUACAGCAGUUUACAGGUUACAAAAUAAACUUUCCAGGUGAUCUGUGAAAAUUAAGAGCUAUUCACAGCUCACCUGCUUGUGCUAGAAAAAAAAUACAAGUCACAUUCCCUUCCCCUGCAAAACCCGGAGCCCUCCCAACCCCCACUAAAAAGAAAAUACUUCGUGUUAAUAGUUUGUUAAACCCAAGCAUUGAGGUUACAGGUGCAGUAACCAGCACAACUGGUACACUGCCUAGAACAGCACAGUUUGAGAUAUAAAAAGUAGCUUUCUUAAAAUCACUUCAAAACCAAUUUCUGUAUAAGAGGAUUAAAAGUAAGUUAGUUAUGAAUUCAAACCUCAGUGUAGAAAUCCACAGUUUUUAUCAAAGCAUACAGUAUUCAGUUCAAUAGCAAAACUCCAAGUGUCACAUACACCAGACCUCAGGGACUUUUUAGACCAGUAAGUCAAUAUAAAAGGUUAUUGCUCGAGAGAUUCUCAGUAGAACAUGUUUAUCAAGAGCAAGGAACAGGACAGUAUCAAAGAAGAGGGACUGCUGGCCUGAUUAGCAAAGAGGAAGAUGAACAAGGAAUAUGAAGUCUAUAGCUUUAUUUUUUCCUUGCUUUUUAAAAAAAAACCUAGAGAGGCUUUUCAGGCCUUUCCCUUGGUAAAAUGCAGGCCAGACACACAGCAUAAGCCACAUUCGCUCAGAGGAGAGGGCUGGGCCCUCAAAUUUCUCUGCAUUUUCUUUUAAAAUUAACUGGUGCCAGUCUCCUCCUCUCUCCCAGGAGCAGCAGAAUUAGGAGCAUUUGCCCUAACCACUCCUGGGGAGGUGGGGGUGUCCAGCACAACAUGGGACACUCCACUCAAGCAGGGAGGGGGUUUUCUUCCCCCCACCUCCUGCCCCAGUGUGUUGAGGAGGGGGAGAGAAUCACAAACUAGAAAGAGAGAGUAGCCCCCGACUCCCUCUUUCUAAAAAAUAAGUGGCAUCAAUUCCCUGCAGUGUUACUGAACUGGAAAGACUCCACUGCAGGGUCUUUACAGCUUCUGGGGCUGCUGCUGUGAUCUUAGUAAAUCCUGUGUGCCCCAGGACUCGACCAUGC